AGUGAACGCUGGCGGUAGGCCUAACACAUGCAAGUCGAACGGCAGCACAGUAAGAGCUUGCUCUUACGGGUGGCGAGUGGCGGACGGGUGAGGAAUACAUCGGAAUCUACUUUUUCGUGUGGGCUAACGUAGGGAAACUUACGCUAAUACCGCAUACGACCUACGGGUGAAAGCAGGGGAUCUUCGGACCUUGCGCGAUUGACUGAGCCGAUGUCGGAUUAGCUAGUUGGCGGGGUAAAGGCCCACCAAGGCGACGAUCCGUAGCUGGUCUGAGAGGAUGAUCAGCCACACAGGAACUGAGACACGGUCCAGACUCCUACGGGAGGCAGCAGUGGGGAAUAUUGGACAAUGGGCGCAAGCCUUAUCCAGCCAUACCGCGUGGGUGAAGAAGGCCUUCGGGUUGUAAAGCCCUUUUGUUGGGAAAGAAAAGCAGCAGGUUAAUACCCCGCUGUUCUGACGGUACCCGAAGAAUAAGCACCGGCUAACUUCGUG
rnacentral:rRNA from 1 species